rnacentral:rRNA from 1 species
GGCCUUGACAUGCAGAGAACUUUCCAGAGAUGGAUUGUGGCCUUCGGGAACGUCUGACACAGGUGCUGCAUGGCUGUCGUCAGCUCGUGUCGUGAGAUGUUGGGUUAAGUCCCGUAACGAGCGCAACCCUUGUCCUUAGUUACCAGCACGUUAUGGUGGGCACUCUAAGGAGACUGCCGGUGACAAACCGGAGGAAGGUGGGGGAUGACGUCAAGUCAUCAUGGCCCUUACGGCCUGGGCUACACACGUGCUACAAUGGUCGGUACAAAGGGUUGCCAAGCCGCGAGGUGGAGCUAAUCCCAUAAAACCGAUCGUAGUCCGGAUCGCAGUCUGCAACUCGACUGCGUGAAGUCGGAAUCGCUAGUAAUCGUGAAUCAGAAUGUCACGGUGAAUACGUUCCCGGGCCUU